rnacentral:lncRNA from 1 species
CCAGAGCACUUAAUUCACUGGCACAGUCAAUCCAACUCCUCUUAUGAAAACCAGUCUUAAACUAAAAUCAGUCUUUGUGUUGAAUUCUGUUCUGAACAAUAGGAAUCUAUGAUAGAUUGAGAGAAUAUCCGUUAAUAAAUGGAAGACUAUCACAGUCUGUGAAAAGUAUUGUCACUUGGAAGAGAAAUAGUUUGAUGUACUUGUUUUGGUUUUCAAAGAAUGUCAGUAGAUUGAAAAUAAUGUCUUGGUGACUGCUCCUGCAUAGUCCAUCAUUAUCUGGAUUUUAAGUCUGAGAAGUACUUUUUUUCAAGAGCAUCAGGGGUUAAAGAAAAGGACAUGAUAAAGAGCAUGUGUUAAGUAUAGUAAUCAGAUGGAUCAUUAUUACUUUCUGACUUCCUUAAUCUCUCUCACACUAAAACAGUAUUUCCUUAUCAUUGCUGUUGUGAAACAAGAGCAAAGGACUGCAGACUGUGUGAGGACAAGGAGCUUGGCUGAAGGGAAGAAUUGCAUUAACCCUGGAAUUAUCCUCUGUCCUUUCCUCUCUGUUUUGUUGAAAGGUAUCUUCUCACAUUAAUGCAAUAUAAAAGAUUCUCAGCAUACAGUUUCAGAUGUAAAGAACUUGACUAGUUUUGCUGAAUCAAAUCACUAAAGGAGGGCCUCAGUCCUCCAGUGUUCAACAAAACCGCUGGUGGUCAUGGUACAAAAAGCUACUUGACAUUUGGCAGGAAAAUACUUAUGGAGCUUCUGUUUAUGCAUCACUUGUUUGUUUUAUGUGGUCUUGCAUGGUUUGUGCCAUUUUUGUGAUCUUGCAUUUUACAUAAAUCAUCUUUACAUAAAUUAUCCUGGAGGUGAUUUUUCAGAUUAGAAAGAUCGUACCCAAACCCUUCUCUCAUGCAAGCAUGAAGAGUGAGGAACAUAGAAGUGCAAAAGGGCCAUGUAUUUCUCUCAGGCUCUGGAUUCAGCAUGUCAAACCAGACAUGCUAUACAAUAAUUAUACUGUCUUUAGGGUCAUGGUUAAUGCAGUGUUAUAGCUCAGUUGCAAGCUUUACCCAUGAACUGAUGCAUGCAAUUAUGUGAUGUUUUAUAAUUUUUAUUUAUAUUUUUGUUUUAUUUCUCCUGGUCUUCCCUUUUGAUGAUGCUUACCUGAGUGAGUUGCUCACUGGUAGAGCUGGAAGAUUAUUUCCUUUCUUAAUAUUUUAUAUAUUAUUUUUAAUUUAAUUUACCUGCUGAGUCUAUAAAUGGAAGUGGUGAAUGAUCUUUGUAUAAUACAGCCAUUCUCAUUGCUUGUGUUUGCAGGAAACCUUGCUAUGGUGAGAGACUACAGUGGUAGAAAUAAGUUUUAAAAGAACACAAGUAAGAGAUGCAAAAUAUCUAAUAUUAGGGAGUAGUUUAAUUUGUCCAAAAGUCAGAGAGGUUGACAGGCUCUUGCAGAUUGGCCCCAUAGUUCUCUUCAGUGUGUGCUUAAGUGUGUGCUGUUUUUCCUGUGCAGUUGGUAUAUGAGAUGUAUUGGCAGAUAGUAAUGCUUGGAUGUGUGCACAAGGCCAGCACAUUCUUUUU